GACGAACGCUGGCGGCGUGCCUAAUACAUGCCAGUUGAGCGCUGAAGGUUGGUACUUGUACCAACUGGAUGAGCAGCGAACGGGUGAGUAACGCGUGGGGAAUCUGCCUUUGAGCGGGGGACAACAUUUGGAAACGAAUGCUAAUACCGCAUAAAAACUUUAAACACAAGUUUUAAGUUUGAAAGAUGCAAUUGCAUCACUCAAAGAUGAUCCCGCGUUGUAUUAGCUAGUUGGUGAGGUAAAGGCUCACCAAGGCGAUGAUACAUAGCCGACCUGAGAGGGUGAUCGGCCACAUUGGGACUGAGACACGGCCCAAACUCCUACGGGAGGCAGCAGUAGGGAAUCUUCGGCAAUGGACGAAAGUCUGACCGAGCAACGCCGCGUGAGUGAAGAAGGUUUUCGGAUCGUAAAACUCGGUUGGUAGAGAAGAACGUUGGUGAGAGUGGAAAGCUCAUCAAGUGACGGUAACUACCCAGAAAGGGACGGCUAACUACGUG
rnacentral:rRNA from 1 species